rnacentral:pre_miRNA from 1 species
AUCACCUGGGCAUCUUGUUAAAAGGCAGGUUCUAUUUUAACUCCCCCGGGGCACAGCCCCAGAUUCUGCAUUUCUAACAGGUCCCAGGUGAUGCCCA